AUGUGAGACAUAUAACUCACACUUGCACACAACAAUAUUUUUGGAGGUAUCUGGCAGCUUAUUGUGGCUUGGUUAGGUUUCUCAACAGCUUUGCAUGGCUCUUUUCAACAUCAUUACUAUCAGUUUGGAGGGUUGCGUGGCUCUUCGAAAAGGUCAAUUGAAUCCAUGAACAUUAUUUGGAUGUCAGUUGUCUGGGCAAUCUCGAAAGAGCGUUACAACAGUUUUUCAGAGAAAAGAAGUGCAGCUUCAAGCAAUUAGCGAAAGGGUGAAGCUUCAGUCCUUUUGGUGACUGAAAUCGAAAUAUGUUACCUUCGAUUUUGAUUAUCAAUUGUGGCGGCAGAAUCCUAUAGCUUGCUUAAUGUCCGUAUUUUAGCUUGUUUCUUCUGUUUUUGUUUCAUUGUUUUUCUUCGGUUCGACAUUGUGGUGAUUGUACAGAUUGUUGGACUCUGUUUUGUCUAGGCCCUUUUGCACCCCUUGUACGAGUGUUUCUGGCUGUG
rnacentral:lncRNA from 1 species